rnacentral:siRNA from 1 species
GGGUCUAGAUCCGUCACUGGCUAU